ACAAAAGAAAGAUAAGAGCAAUUACGCAUAAGAAAUAUCCUACGGAAAUAACAAAAAGAAAUUGCAUGUCUAAAAAAAACCAAAGGAAGAAAAAUUCAGAUUCAAAUAGUAAGGAAACUAGUGAUAACACCAAUGGCCGCGAAAGUGUCAGAAGAACCAAUUGCAGUACAAAUGGGAGCAGUAGGAGACCAAACUACAAGUGUGGCACUAUUACCUACUUUU
rnacentral:lncRNA from 1 species